GCCGGAGUGGUGGAAUGGUAGACACCAGGGACUUAAAAUCCCUUGAGCCUUCCUGGCUCGUGCCGGUUCGAGUCCGGCCUCCGGCA
rnacentral:tRNA from 1 species